AACACAGCCAGUGACCCUGAAUGAGAAUAUUAAGGCUUUAUUUCCCUCUCAGCUAGGAGGACAGUAAACCAAACUUAUCUUUAGGGGUUGAAUACUAAAGUGAUCAGCACUGAUUUUAUCUGUCUUUAGAAAGUCCUGUUUGGGUCCAACAGUGAACUGGCUUGGAUUUUGGCUAAUUGGAACAACGUGUUUUACUUCUUGAUUUUUAGAUUUAUAUGAAAGCAAUUUACAGGGCUGGCAGCCAAGUCUCCACUGGCAAGGUGACUCAGAAAAGAACUGCAAUUAUGCAAAUGAUCAAGAAAAAAAAUAAGAGCUACAAGAUCUAGUUUGCCUAAUUGAGGAAGCUGGGCCCGCCCAAAAGGAGGAAGAGGUAAAUAAAGAGGUA
rnacentral:lncRNA from 1 species